GAUGAAGAACGUAGCGAAAUGCGAUAAGUAGUGUGAAUUGCAGAAUUCAGUGAAUCAUCGAAUCUUUGAACGCACAUUGCGCCAUUUGGUACUCCAAAGGGCAUGCCUGUUCGAGCGUCAUUUGUACCCUCAAGCUUUGCUUGGUGUUGGGCGUCUUGUCUCUAGCUUUGCUGGAGACUCGCCUUAAAGUAAUUGGCAGCCGGCCUACUGGUUUCGGAGCGCAGCACAAGUCGCACUCUCUAUCAGCAAAGGUCUAGCAUCCAUUAAGCCUUUUUUUCAACUUUUGACCUCGGAUCAGGUAGGGAUACCCGCUGAACUUAAGCAUAUCAAUAAGCGGAGGA
rnacentral:misc_RNA from 1 species